GAUUAACGCUGGCGGCGUGCAUAACACAUUCAAGUCGAACGGGUGUAGAAAUACAUCAGUGGCGGACGGGUGAGUAACGCGUGAGCAAUCUACCUUCCAGUGCGGAAUAACAACCGGAAACAGUUGCUAAUACCGCAUGAAAUGGCAGUACCGCAUGGUACAACCAUCAAAGGCUUGCUGCUGGAAGAUGAGCUUGCGUCUGAUUAGAUAGUUGGUGGGGUAGCGGCCUACCAAGUCGACGAUCAGUAGCCGGACUGAGAGGUUGAACGGCCACAUUGGAACUGAGAUACGGUCCAGACUCCUACGGGAGGCAGCAGUGGGGAAUAUUGGGGCAAUGGGCGAAAGCCUGACCCAGCGACGCCGCGUGAGGGAAGAAGGUUUUCGGAUUGUAAACCUCUGUCGACAGGGAAAAUGAUGAUGGUACCUGUGGAGGAAGCCACGGCUAACUACGUG
rnacentral:rRNA from 1 species